GAUGAAACGCUGACAGAAUGCUUAACACAUGCAAGUCAACUUGAAUUUGGGUUUUUAACUUAGGUUUGGGUGGCGGACGGGGUGAGUAACGCGUAAAGAAACUUGCCUCACAGCUAGGGACAACAUUUGGAAACGAAUGCUAAUACCUAAUAUUAUGAUAAUAGGGCAUCCUAUAAUUAUGAAAGCUAUAAGCGCUGUGAGAGAGCUUUGCGUCCCAUUAGCUAGUUGGAGAGGUAACGGCUCACCAAGGCGAUGAUGGGUAGCCGGCCUGAGAGGGUGAUCGGCCACAAGGGGACUGAGACACGGCCCUUACUCCUACGGGAGGCAGCAGUGGGGAAUAUUGGACAAUGGACCGAGAGUCUGAUCCAGCAAUUCUGUGUGCACGAUGAAGUUUUUCGGAAUGUAAAGUGCUUUCAGUUGGGAAGAAAAAAAUGACGGUACCAACAGAAGAAGUGACGGCUAAAUACGUGCCAGCAGCCGCGGUAAUACGUAUGUCACGAGCGUUAUCCGGAUUUAUUGGGCGUAAAGCGCGUCUAGGUGGUUAUAUAAGUCUGAUGUGAAAAUGCAGGGCUCAACUCUGUAUUGCGUUGGAAACUGUAUAACUAGAGUACUGGAGAGGUAAGCGGAACUACAAGUGUAGAGGUGAAAUUCGUAGAUAUUUGUAGGAAUGCCGAUGGGGAAGCCAGCUUACUGGACAGAUACUGACGCUGAAGCGCGAAAGCGUGGGUAGCAAACAGG
rnacentral:rRNA from 1 species